rnacentral:lncRNA from 10 species
CAGUAAUAUAAAGGCAAUAACAAUUCAAAUAAUAUCAAAAUACAUAAAAUAUAAAAUCAAGCUUCCCUUUCUUUCCCUCUAUUCUCCCAUUCCAUUGCUCCUCUCCCAUUCCUCACGAGUAACCACUGGCAGUUGUUCAGUAUGAAUCCUUCUGGAUCUUUCCUAUGCACAUUUAGACGUAUUUACACAUACACAUACCAUAAAAAGUCUGUGUAUAGCUUUGUUUUUUAAAAAAGAAUUUUUCUACUCACAUUUUUCUGUAACUGGUUUUUGUAACUAAUAUAUUGUAGAUUCUACUUAUAUACAGACCAACCACACUCUUUUUAAUGGCUGUAGAGUGAAUCAUGAAAUCAUAGUAAAAAUAUACAUUAAUGUAUUCAGCCUAGUAAGUAGCAUUUACAUUGUUUCUAAUAUUUUGAUAGAAUAAAUUAAUACUGCAUCAGAUUCUUAUGCCUGUGUCCUUUGGCUCUUAUUUCUAACAGUAGAACAGCUGAGUUAAAGAGUAUACAUGUUGAAUUUUGAUAGGCACUGCCACACUGCUUUCCAGAAAGAUUGACCAAUUACCAUUCUACCAACAAAGAUUGUCCUUUGUUCACAUUCUCACCAACAGUGGACACUGUCAGUGUUUUUAAUUUUGACAGAACUGAUUGGCAAGAGCAUGCUAUUUAUUUUGAUUUAUAGUUACCUGAUCAGUAGUAAGAUUGAGCUCAUUUUCAGUCUCUCCUUUUACUAUGGCUACAAUAAAAGAGCUGAAAGUGUGGUUUUUGAUUUAUUUCUUUUAGAUAUAAAUGACCAAUCCAAAUAGUGAUAUUUUGAACUACUAAUUUCUAAGAAGAUUCACAUUGGAAUGUUACAUAUCUCCAUAUUAGGAAAAUCAGUCAUAAUUGAACUCCCAAAGUCAAAUUACAUCUGAUGUUUAUUCUGGGAUUCAUAUAAUUGUUUUUGGCCAAAAGUAUUGAAAGAUGCCAGAACUAUAUUCUUUUUUUACUUUUGUUUCCUUUAUUUCUUCUAAAAAAAAAAAAAACAACAAACUUAGGAUACAUGUGCAGAACAUGUAGGUUUGUUACAUAGGUAUACGUGUGCCAUGGUGGUUUGCUGCACCUAUUGACCCGUCCUCUAAGUUCCCUCCCCUGACUCCCCACCCCCAUACAGGCCCUGGUAUGUGUUGGCCAGAACUAUAUUCUGUUGAUUUUGUACCAAAUUUAUCACACUAGGAGUUGCAAGUAACAGAAAGAACUGUGACCAAACUAUGGAAAAAGAAAUUUAUUAGGAGACUAUUUGGAGUCCAUUGUUGUGCUAAUUAAUGGGUGACUGGUCACCAGGAACCACUACCGCAGUCUCAUAGCAGGCAUGGUAUGGCUGGUAGGUCACCUCCACACAGCAAAUGUUUUAAGUUUCUUGGUCUCUGUGCUCAAGAGUUUAAUUCUAGGGGGAAAGCAUUUGAUUGGCCUAAUGUGGGCCUCAAGGGAAGGAAGGCUUUUAAUGACAGCCCCCAAAGACUAAAUCCAACGGGAAAGAGAUCUUCCUUUAAAAGGAAAUUGGGGUAUUGUUAGGACGUGAAAUGGAUGCUGGUCAGAAAAAACAAAACAAACCAAACCAAAUUAUCCCUACACUAAACUUACCAAUUGCCUUUUCUUCUCUUUACCUUGUAAACCUGUCAGUGCCCAGUCACUGUAGACAACCUCACCGGCAACAUGCUGCCCACACCUAGAAUAGGAGCCCAUGGGGCAGAAUAAUGGAGACCGUCCCAUUCCUUACAGUUUGUAUAAUGCUUGCUCAAGUAUAUUGAACUCUGCCAGUCCUGGAAUCAAAACAUUUUAGUCUUAGAACAAGAACUGAGAGGUUUUCAUACUGACUUUCACUCAUUCUCCAUUCUCCUUAAUUCUCCUCAAAUGCAUAGAAAUCCUGUGUUUCAUGUGUUCAUUCAUUCUUCUAUGCAACCACUAUUUAUGGAUGGCAACCCUGUGCUAGACAUUGUUCUAGGUGCUGAGGAAACAAAAGUGAAGUGGAAAGACAUAUCUGCCCUGGUGAGGCUGGAAGGAGCAAGCAAGGCUGGAGUUGGACUUUAGAUCUUAUCUGAAAUGCAAUAGGAAGCCACUCAAAGCUUUUGGGCAGGCAAGAAACAUGAUCAGAUCAUAUUUUUAGACACAUUAUGCAAACUGGUAUAUAGAGAAUGGACUGCAAGGAGAAAUGAACCAGGCCAAGAGGCCAGUCAGAGGACCAGUGUAGUAGCUAGAUGAAAAAAAAAGAUGGUAGCCUGGACUAGUUUGGUGGCCAAAGAGAUAAAGAGAUGUGGACAGAAUGAAGAGAUAUUUCUGAGGCAAAAUGAAUGGGGUGGGGUAGGGGGAGUGGUGGUAGUACAGGAAAGAAAAGAGUCAAAGAUAACUGAUUUUUCUGGCAUGAGUGACCAAGUAAAUGGUGACUACAAUGGGUAACCCAAGAGGCCUUGGCUAGAGGGCAAGCAGAGUAAAGGAUGAAUUACCUUUGGGUCAGUCUGAGCACAUGUGCAAUUCUCAUGUCAAGUAUGGAGUAGACUGUCUAAAUCUGAAGCUCAGGAGAGAGAUCCAGCAUGUGAAGUCACCAGUGGCUACAAGGCCAAGGAGUUAGAAGACACUGCCCAAGGAGAGUACAGAUUGAACAGAGAGGGAUAUCAACACUGGACUUACAUAUUUUAAAUGAAGAAACUCCGGAAUAUUUUGCCUCAAAAACUGUGACUUCUGUAUUCCACGGACCACUACAUUAAUUUUUCUCUUCUAUUGCAGCUUUUUAUAGUCUUCAACAACAACCAGUCCCUACAUUUAAGAAGGUUAAUAACUGAGACAGCCUUCCUGGUGGAUCCAUCAUUUGGCCCAGCUUGUAGAAAGAUUCCCAACUAGCUCUAAUUAGUUCCAUCUUAUUUGGAGGCAGAGGUAUUCCUCAUCAUACCCAUAUCCUCAUAUAAAUUGUCCAGUGCCCUAGGUACCAGGGAGAAAGAAGACGAAGAAGGACAUAUACCAGAAGCACAUUAAUAGGCUGCUGAAAAACUCUGCCACACUUUCAGAUGACAGGUCACCUACAGAUAAAUGAUUCAAGGAUCAACCAAGUUCUGAAGUUUUUUUUUGUUUUUUUUUUUUGGGAUAGAGUCUCACUGUGUCACCCAGGCUGGAGUGCAGUGGCGUGAUCUCAGCUCACUGCAACCUCUGCCUCCCGAGUUCAAGUGAUUCUCCUGCCUCAGCCUCCCAAGUAGCUGGGAUUAUAGGUGCCUGCCACCAGGCCUGGCUAAUUAUUUUUUGUAUUUUUAGUAGAAACAUAGUUUCACUAUGUUGGCCAGGCUGGUCUUGAACUCCUGACCUUGUGAUCCACCCGCCUCAGCCUCCCAAAGUGCUGGGAUACAGGUGUGAGCCACCAUGCCCGGCCAGUUCUUAAUACUGCCAGGAGUGCUUUAGAAGGCUGGGAAUAUGGGGCGAAAGAUUAGACACCCAAGCUGUUGAAAACCACACAGAGUUUCAGUAAAUAUAUGCACAAUUUGAAAAAUAUAUUUGCAAAAAUCUAGGUGUCUCCGGUCUAGUCCUUCCUAUUAAUCAAAUAAAUUACCGAGCUUCAUGGCCCAGUCUAUGAUCCUAGUUCUGACCGCUGCUGCCCGUAAAGGCCUCAAUGAAUUCCUCUCUGAGCUUCCAGACUUCCUUGGCUGGUGACUUGUUCCUCUUGGGACAGCUUUUGCUUGAGCUGAGCAGCCUGGCCCCCAGCUGUGCAGGGCCCUCUCUCCGGUGAGAGGAAACGCUUUCAGCUUAGUCUGUUAACACAAACAUUCAAAAGCAAACAUUCAAAAGCCACAGAUCAUGUUCGCAUAAAUAAAAUAGGAUUGAGAAAAGCUUUGCCCCAAGAAACCAAAGGGGUGUUUAAAAAACAGCUCUUGCUUUCCAAGUAGGCAGGCAGCAAAGCCACAGCAAUUCCAAAGGUUUGUGUGCUUGGUAGAGCUGGGUGGCUGCAGCCGCAGGCCUUUGAAGAGGAAAUGCCAUCCCUGGUACAGGCAGGCGGCCAACCCAUGAGUCCUGAAAGUACCAGAGAGAAGCAGAAAGCAGGGGAGCACAGUUAGGAAGUGAAAAGGGAGAGGAAGGCACCAAGGAGAUAAAUGAGGAGACUCUUCUUAUCUAGAGUUCCCACCCCAGACCUAAGAGCUACAGGACAGAGGAACUCACUGUGCCUGACAGAGCUGGGGCCUGUCUACAGAUCCUGUGGUUCUGCAGAUUUCAAUUAUAGAAGACAGGACUUUGGAAAACAUGAAAAGACCACUUAAAAGAGAAAUAGAAAAAGAUGAUUCUAAAAUCUGAUGGAACCACCAAGGAGCUUGAGUGGCCAAAGCAAAAAGAACAAGCUGAAGGCAUCACACCACCCAACUUCAAAAUAUAUUACAAAGCUAUAGUAAUCAAAACAGCAUUGUUCUCCAUAAAAAGACACAUAGACCAAAGGAACAGAUUAGAUCCCAGAAAUAAACCCAUGCAACUAUCUUUGACAAGGCUACCAAGACAUAAUGAGGAAAAAAUAAUCUCUUCAAUAAAUGAUGCUGGGAAAACUGUAUACCCACAUGCAGAAUGAAAUUGGUCCUUGAUGUUUUAUGUGACUGAAGCAGUUUGAAAAGGAGAGUGAAUGAGAGAGUAAGCAAGCUGUAAAAUUAGGUUGGGACCAAGUCAGGGGUUACCAAAUAUCAGGCUGAGCUUUGGUACUUUAUUUGGCAAGAAAAUAAAAC